UUAUGUGUAAAAAACAAUGUUCAAUCAUAACAUGAUAUUCAUUAGCCAGCCAUUUUUCAAACAUAAUUAUGUACGUGAAUUGCUUUAACCAUAAAACAAAUAAAUUAUCAAUGUUGUUUGUCAAAAAUUCAAUGUUAAAAAACAAAAUACCAUUAACCACCUACUAUACGUAAUUGUUUGAAUUGUCUUAUCAAUGCAAUUCUUGUGUGAAUAGUAAUAUACGAU
rnacentral:lncRNA from 1 species